rnacentral:rRNA from 1 species
AUUGAACGCUGGCGGAAUGCUUUACACAUGCAAGUCGAACGGCAGCACGGGGGCAACCCUGGUGGCGGGUGGCGAACGGGUGAGUAAUACAUCGGAACGUGCCCGGUCGUGGGGGAUAACGUAGCGAAAGUUACGCUAAUACCGCAUACGAUCUGAGGAUGAAAGCGGGGGACCUUCGGGCCUCGCGCGAUCGGAGCGGCCGAUGUCAGAUUAGGUAGUUGGUGGGGUAAAGGCCUACCAAGCCGACGAUCUGUAGCUGGUCUGAGAGGACGACCAGCCACACUGGGACUGAGACACGGCCCAGACUCCUACGGGAGGCAGCAGUGGGGAAUUUUGGACAAUGGGCGCAAGCCUGAUCCAGCCAUUCCGCGUGCAGGACGAAGGCCUUCGGGUUGUAAACUGCUUUUGUAUGGAACGAAAAGGCUCUGGCUAAUACCUGGGGCUCAUGACGGUACCGGAAGAAUAAGCACCGGCUAACUACGUG